rnacentral:rRNA from 1 species
AUUGAACGCUGGCGGCAUGCUUUACACAUGCAAGUCGAACGGCAGCGCGGGCUUCGGCCUGGCGGCGAGUGGCGAACGGGUGAGUAAUACAUCGGAACGUGCCCAGUAGUGGGGGAUAGCUCGGCGAAAGCCGGAUUAAUACCGCAUACGACCUGAGGGUGAAAGCGGGGGAUCUUCGGACCUCGCGCUAUUGGAGCGGUCGAUGGCAGAUUAGCUAGUUGGUGGGGUAAAGGCCUACCAAGGCGACGAUCUGUAGCUGGUCUGAGAGGACGACCAGCCACAGCGGGAGUGAAUCUGGGCCCAGAGUCCGACGGGUGGCCGCAGAGGGUAAUUUUGGACAAGGGGCGAAGGCGUUAUCCAGGAAUGCCGCGCGUGUGAUAAAGGCCUUCGGGUUGUAAAGCACUUUGGGCGGGAACGAAAAGGACUGUGCAAAUACCACGGUUCGAUGACGGUACCCGCAGAAUAAGCACCGGCUAACUACGUG